GGCGAGAUGGCCGAGCGGUCUAAGGCGCUGUGUUAAGGUGACGACCUGUGAAUAAACAGGCAUCUCCUCCGCAGUCUUCGGACGUGGGUUCGAAUCCCACUCUCGUCA
rnacentral:tRNA from 1 species